rnacentral:rRNA from 1 species
GAUAAACGCUGGCGGCAUGCCUUACACAUGCAAGUCGAACGGUAACAGGUCUUCGGACGCUGACGAGUGGCGAACGGGUGAGUAAUGCAUCGGAACGUGCCCAGUCGUGGGGGAUAACUGCUCGAAAGAGCAGCUAAUACCGCAUACGACCUGAGGGUGAAAGCGGGGGACCGUAAGGCCUCGCGCGAUUGGAGCGGCCGAUGUCAGAUUAGCUAGUUGGUGGGGUAAAGGCCUACCAAGGCAACGAUCUGUAGUUGGUCUGAGAGGACGACCAGCCACACUGGGACUGAGACACGGCCCAGACUCCUACGGGAGGCAGCAGUGGGGAAUUUUGGACAAUGGGCGCAAGCCUGGUCCAGCAAUGCCGCGUGCAGGAAGAAGGCCUUCGGGUUGUAAACUGCUUUUGUCAGGGAAGAAAUCUUCUGGGCUAAUACCCCGGGAGGAUGACGGUACCUGAAGAAUAAGCACCGGCUAACUACGUGCCAGCCGCCGCCGUAA